UUUCGGAUAUUAUUCAGCAACAAAGCAAUAAUUUUCUAUUGUUUUAAAUUAUUUAAAUAAACAUAUAUGAAGUACAAUUUACUUUCUCCACUACUUAAAACACUUCUUCCAUACUCUCUUUGCUUUUUAUACAUUCAUUGUCAUUAUUCCAUUUUCCUGUGGACCCUCAGAAGGGGUUUUUGCAUCGUUUCUCGUUUAUAUCAACCUCAUGCAUGGAUAUAGUUUCUCACAAAAUUAAAAAAAACUAAGCACAAUCAAUAAUUCUACGCGAAUAUAAUGGGACUGAUCGAAUCAGUCGUUGCUUCAUUUCAAUUUUGAAAACCGCACAGUGCUUAUCAGCGAUUUCGUUUUACUGCUUCGACGACGUCUAUCAAUGUUGUUAUCCACUUUUCCUGUUUGAAUGAACUUUUCGGACUGUAUCUCGAGAACUGGAGUACCUUGGUAUCUACAUUCUACAGGUAUUAUGUAUUAUGCACUGCACAUCCAUUUUCUAUAUUAUGUAUGUACCCGAUGGGUUUCUACAAUAUCACAAUGUAAGAAAUUUGAUUUCGACGGGCCAUGCAGUUCAGCGUGUCAGUUGCCAGUACUUUAUGCGAUACUGAUUCCCUUUUACGAAUAAUAGGAAAUAAUCCUUUGAUGGUACUUAUAAAAUGUUAAAAUGGUCUAUUUUUGAUUUAACAUUAUAUUUCUCAGAAAAAAAAUCAACGUAAGGCCUAAGGUUUCAUUAUGGAAAAAAGUAAAUCAAAAGAAAAGUAUUAUGGAAAAUCAAAAUUUGAUAAUACGCAUGAAUGUUUCUCAUUUGGAAUAAUAAUCCUCCUACAUAGACGAGAGGGCAGCAGGGACUAUGUCCAAGGGCUUGACGAUCCCUCCCCAGGCCAUCUGCGAGUUCUGGCGCCUGCCUAGGAUGUGGUGGGGUUUGACAGUGGGCCCUGUUAAACCUCUAUAAAAAGCUGCAUGUAUCCGCAAGUAGGCUCCGCCAAAGCGACCGUGUGCCGCUCAAAGCGCACAAGCCCAAGUCCUGGUGUUAGGUGGGACGCUAAACAGCCCUGACACGACGGCCCUCCGACGAGACAGGAGGUUUGCGCAGGCCCAAUAAGCCGCCUUUAAAAACAACUAUUACGAACGACAUAGAAGAUAAUACGACUCGAUACAAUCGGCAACGACCUAGGCGACGAAUAAAGGAUCACGAUUGGAAGCUUGGAACAUGGAACUGCAAGUCGCUAGGCUUCGCAGGUUGCGAUAGGAUAAUCUACGAUGAAUUACAUCCCCGUAACUUCGAUGUCGUAGCGCUGCAGGAAAUCUGCUGGACAGGACAGAAAGUGUGGAAAAGCGGGCAUCGAGCGGCUACCUUCUACCAAAGCUGUGGCACCACCAACGAGCUGGGAACCGGCUUCAUAGUGCUGGGAAAGAUGCGCCAACGCGUGAUUGGGUGGCAGCCAAUCAACGCAAGAAUGUGCAAGCUGAGGAUAAAAGGCCGUUUCUUCAACUAUAGCAUCAUCAACGUGCACUGCCCACACGAAGGGAGAUCCGACGACGAGAAAGAAGCGUUCUAUGCGCAGCUGGAGCAGACAUACGGUGGAUGCCCACUGCGGGACGUCAAAAUCGUCAUCGGUGACAUGAACGCUCAGGUAGGAAGGGAGGAAAUGUAUAGACCGGUCAUCGGACCGGAUAGUCUCCAUACCGUAUCGAACGACAACGGCCAACGAUGCAUAAACUUUGCAGCCUCCCGCGGAAUGGUAGUCCGAAGCACUUUCUUCCUCCGUAAGAAUAUCCACAAGGCCACAUGGAAAGCACCUAAUCAAGUAAUGGAAAACCAAAUCGACCACGUUCUAAUCGACGGUAAAUUCUUCUCCGACAUCACGAACGUACGCACUUACCGCAGUGCGAAUAUUGAAUCCGACCACUACCUCGUCGCAGUAUGUCUGCGCUCAAAACUCUCGACGGUUAUCAACACGCGUCGGAGUCGUCCGCCGCGGCUAAACAUUGGGCGGCUACAAGACGGUAGACUAGCCCAAGACUACGCGCAGCAGCUGGAAGUGGCACUCCCAACGGAAGAGCAGCUAGGCGCAGCAGCUCUUGAAGAUGGCUGAAGAGAUAUUCGAUCCGCCAUUGGAAGCACCGCAACCGCUGCACUAGGCACGGUGGCUCCGGAUCAGAGGAACGACUGGUAUGACGGCGAAUGUGAGCAGUUAGUUGAGGAGAAGAAUGCAGCAUGGGCGAGAUUGCUGCAACACCGCACGAGGGCGAACGAGGCACGAUACAAACGGGCGCGGAACAGACAAAACUCGAUUUUCCGGAGGAAAAAGCGCCAGCAGGAAGAUCGAGACCGUGAAGAGACGGAGUAACUGUACCGCGCUAAUAACGCACGUAAGUUCUAUGAGAAGUUGAACCGUUCACGUAAGGGCUACGUGUCACAGCCCGAUAUGUGUAAGGACAUAAACAGGAACCUUCUUACGAACGAGCGUGAGGUGGUCCAAAGGUGGCGGCAGCACUACGCACCUGAAUGGCGAUAUGGCAGACAACGGUGGCGGUAUGGUAAUGAACCUAGGAGCACGCGCGCAGGACAUGCGACUUCCGGCUCCGAAUCUCCAGGAAAUCCAGGAGGAGAUCGGCCGGCUGAAAAACAACAAAGCCCCUGGAGUUGACCAACUACCAGGAGAGCUGUUUAAACACGGUGGUGAAGCACUGGCUAGAGCGCUGCACUGGGUGAUUACCAAGGUUUGGGAGGAUGAGGUUCUGCCGCAGGAGUGGAUGGAAGGUGUCGUGUGUCCCAUCUACAAAAGGGCGAUAAGCUGGAUUGUAGCAACUACCGCGCAAUCACAUUGCUGAACGCCGCCUACAAGGUACUCUCCCAAAUUUUAUGCCGUCGACUAACACCAAUUGCAAGAGAGUUCGUGGGGCAGUACCAGGCGGGAUUUAUGGGUGAACGCUCUACCACAGACCAGGUGUUCGCCAUACGUCAGGUAUUGCAGAAAUGCCGCGAAUACAACGUGCCCACACAUCAUCUAUUUAUCGACUUCAAAGCCGCAUAUGAUACAAUCGAUCGGGACCAGCUAUGGCAGCUAAUGCACGAAAACGGAUUUCCGGAUAAACUGAUACGGUUGAUCAAGGCGACGAUGGAUCGGGUUAUGUGCGUAGUUCGAGUUUCAGGGGCAUUCUCGAGUCCCUUCGAAACCCGUUACGGCAAGGUGAUGGUCUUUCGUGUCUGCUAUUCAACAUCGCUUUGAAGGGAGUAAUACGAAGGGCAGGGAUUGACACGAGUGGUACGUUUUUCACGAAGUCCGUCCAGUUAUUUGGUUUCGCCGACGACAUUGAUAUCAUGGCACGUAACUUUGAGAGGAUGGAGGAAGCCUACAUCAGACUGAAAAGCGAAGCUAAACGGAUUGGACUAGUCAUCAACACGUCGAAGACGAAGUACAUGAUAGGAAGAGGCUCAAGAGAGGUCAAUGUGAGCCACCCACCACGAGUUUAUAUCGGUGGUGACGAAAUCGAGGUGGUUGAAGAAUUCGUGUACUUGGGCUCACUGGUGACCGCCGAUAACGAUACCAGCAGAGAAAUUCGGAGACGCAUAGUGGCUGGAAAUCGUACGUACUUUAGACUCCGUAAGACGAGCGAUCGAAUAGAGUUCGCCGCCGUACCAAACUGACUAUCUACAAAACGCUUAUAAGACCGGUAGUUCUCUACGGACACGAGACCUGGACGAUGCUCGUGGAGGACCAACGCGCACUGGGAGUUUUCGAAAGGAAAGUGUUGCGUACCAUCUAUGGUGGGUUGCAGAUGGCGGACGGUACGUGGAGGAGGCGAAUGAACCACGAGUUGCAUCAGCUGUUGGGAGGACCACCCAUCGUUCACACCGCGAAAAUCGGAAGACUGCGGUGGGCCGGGCACGUAGCCAGAAUGUCGGCCAGUAAUCCGGUGAAAAUGGUCCUCGACAACGAUCCGACGGGAACAAGAAGGCGAGGUGCACAGCGGGCAAGGUGGAUCGAUCAGGUGGAGGACGACUUGCGGACCCUCCGCAGACUGCGUGGUUGGCGAAGUGCAGCCAUGAACCGAGCUGAAUGGAGAAGUCUUUUAUGUGCAGCACAGGCCACUCCGGCCUUAGUCUGAUGAUAAAUAAAUAAAUGAAUUCACUGAAUCAGCACCUUCUUAUAUGCAACAUUGGUCAAAAUGCUCGGAGCGGUGGGUGUAGUUGACCUCCAGAAAAGUCAAAUCAGAGACUGACCCGCAGGCAGGCUGGCGGCCAUUACCGCUCGCGGAAAACUGGAUAUCACUCUCACUCACUCACUUACUUUCACUCUCACUCACUCUCACUCAUUCACUCUCUCUCACUCACUCAAUCUCACACGCACACUCAUUUAAUCACUCACUCACUCAUUCUUACUCACUCACUUCCACUUACUCCCCCUUAAUCACUCACUCUUACUCACUCUCUCUCACUCACUCAAUCUCACACGUACACUCAUUCUCACUGACUCACUCCCACUUAAUCACUCACUCUUACUCACUCUCUUUCACUCACUCAUCCUCACUCACUCACUCACUCAAUCACUUACUCUUUCACUCACUCAGUCUCACACAUACACACUCAUUUUCACUAACUCACUAAUUCUCUCCCACUCGCUCACUUUCACUCAAUCACUCGUUUACUCACUCCUUCAUUCUCACUCGCUCACUAACUCUUACCCUCACUUUCCCACUAAGUCACCCUCACUCACUUUCACGUGUGAGUGAACCCAUUUUCUCUUUCUCACUCUCCCACUCAAUAUCUCCCUUUAUCUUUCCCUCUUCUCGCUCGUAUGUGUUUGUAUAAAAAAAUCCGUACCAAAACCCAGAAGCACGGGCGCGGAUACGCAGAUUCUCAAAACCCGAACCAAAAUCCUGAAGUGUAAACCCAAUCACGGAAAAUGUUUCAACAGUGGGCACUUAUCGGUGGAAGAUUUUCCCCUACAAAACCCGGAGCAGAAUCCCGUAACAAAUCCCGCGGACACGUUUUCCGAACUGAAAACCAGCCUUAAGAUAUCAACGCAGCGGCUAUUUGACUAUGCAAUGCACACGACGUUAAGGCUCAAGAAAAGUUAGGCAAUGAAAAGGGCUUUCUGAAUGAUUUACCACCGGCGUUGUGUCGUCUGUCUCUUUCCGCACUUCGAAAAAUUGUGAUUGUGGUAGUACAACACCGAGAAAUACCACAAAUACUCAUUCAAAAAAUACGGAUUUAUGUCGUGGUUUGAUGCCAAUCUUUGUUCCCCUUUAACACACGAAGCUAUUUCCCGAAUUUUCUCGCUAUUGACAAAUAAGAAGCGAUAGAGCCUUUUCCACUUUAUGGAGGGCCGUAAGUGUUGACUUACGUGACUGGUAAGUGUGGUAGUAGCGGAUUGUGUUAAAAUAAUAAUCGGAGAUACGAAAUGAAAGCAUGAAUUAUUUGAAUGAGAUUUAAAUUUCUAAAUCGAAGCAAUCGGCGUUCGAAUAGACCAAUGCAAGAUCUUGACUUAACCUCACUUAUUUGACAGUUCACAGAGCUUGUUUACAGGGUGUUAGAAUUAAAAUCGAUCAGCCGGAAAUAAAAAUCCAUAAUUUUUGCUCAAAAUCAUUUUGAUCCGAAUAUUCUAGUGAUAUGCUUUAAUUCCUACCAUAAAUCAAUCACGAAAGACAUCAAUAUUCUUAAUUAAUCGCAAAGCAGUUUUUCCGGAGGCUGCUCCAGAGACUAAGUCCCUGUAAACAAGCUCUGUGAACUGUCAACCUACGUCAUCAUGCACUGGUCUAUAGUAGGCGCCCAUUAGCACACGAAUAUGAACUCGAUUGACAGAACGAAACAAAGAACGAGACGAUACUAAUUCGAAUAUUGGGUAUGUAUCACUAGAGCUACUCGUUCUGUCAGAGCAUACUUGUGGGUACACAGCCCAUGAUAAUACAGUUAUUCGACGGAUGUCCUACGGAUAUUCGCUCGGCCCCAACAGUAAGCAACAAUGGAUGUUUGAUCAUGUAAUUUGAGUUGAUACAAUCACUCAACACUUUUUACAUACUUUUCAACAGAACUGAUGAAAGACUAAUGGACCUGAAUGACCUAUUAGAUACGUCUUAUCUCGCUUUCCUACUUUUGGUAUAAAGAUUACUUUUACUUGCCUCCAUGAAGAUGGAAUAUAGUUGAGUCUUAGACUCUCAAUUAAUGGUGGAUUCAGCACUGAUUCGCCGUUUCAAAGCAUUGCUGAAAUUAUUCCGUCCGGUCCUGCAGAUUUAAGGUUCCCCCAAACACAAGCGACGCGAUUCUAUCGAUUGAUGACUACGAUUCUGUCGCCGUUGGUAUGGAAGCGUAAAUAGAACAUUACCUGCAGCGAGCCAACGAUAGAAUCGCGGAGACUAGUUGUCGCCGUCGCGGUGAUGAAAUCGCUUAGGUCUGGGCAAGCCUUCAUCAGUCUGGAAAAAAUCCCACUGCAUUAUCUACCCGGGCAUUCGUAAAGACAUCGUCAGUCAAGACUUGUGCAACAUUUUUCGCAUCAUCAGACAUUUUAGUUGUUCUUACUGAACAUCUUAGUCUUUCAAACGAACCACUUGUUAUUGGGUCUACACAGAGUGUAAAAUAAUCGAAUUUUUUUGGUGAAGUUCAUUCUUCUUCACUUGUCAGUUCACUUCCAACACAUUCAUAGUCGGCUCUGAACAGUCAAUAUUCAGUUGAAUAUUAGUCAUUGAAUAUUUAUGCACAUUUUACAAAGUGAUAAAUUAUCUGAAAUCUGAACACGUUUCAAAUGAGUAAAGUGAUUUAUCACACAGGACUGAACCAUAUUUUUAUCCGCGAGGCACUUUCAACGGCAAACAUCAACAUAAACAAUGCUAAUUAUGUUUUUUUCCGCACAUAGUAAACACACUCAGUGACAGUCGAAUGAAUGAGUUCGUGGAGUAGUCGUCUGACUAUGUCAUUCUAUGUUUUGAAUAUUCAUGCGAUGUUUGUCAAAAUUCGGACCGAAUUUGCUUCAUGAAGAUGAAUAUUUCAAGCUCUGGGUCUACAUACAUAAUCGAUCCAGGAAAAUGGGUUUCCAUAUAAUCCGCUUUUAUGUUUCACCAGAAGUUUUUGUGGAAAACCCAUCCUCUUGUUUCAGAUUCCCCAGCUCAUUCGUAUGAUCUUUUGCAAGUACCCUCUGAAGUCUCGGGACUUCUGGAGUUUUGUUAAUAUUUUCAAACGUUUGAACCAAUUAGUAAUAGAGAGAUUAUUUUUUCGGUGUACAACAUUUUGUCGCCAUUUUUGUCUGCUUGAUAAGUCGGAAAAUAACAAGCAGUUGAAGCAUCUGUUUAUUUAUUUUAAAGCAGCGUACGGCUCGGUGAAAAAUCAUUCACAGGACAGUAGUGGAAGCUGUUGUCGCACUGAAGAGAAAGGGAGGCUUAAUUAUUAACUCUAUGAAAACAGGUUUAUGGUUGCGGAUAGCGACAUAUCUACAGGGGAUAGGUAAAUUUUGGGUAAAAUUAGAUGCGUUGUAACUAUGUCAGUUAUCAUUCGAUUUUAACAAUUCAGGGAUGCCUGAACUGUGUAAGUGUUGGUUAUGUUAUGUGAUGAGUGUUACCGAGAAAUUCGUGUAAUUUUAGUGUUAUGCGUGAAUUGUUUGUGAAUGGCAGGUAAAACUCGUCCUUAUGUGUAGUAUAGAUAGUAGAAUCUAUAGAUGAGCGAAAGCAUGGCUGAGUCGAUUUUUUUGCCCGUGCGCACGCGCAAAUGACGUCACAGCCCUUAACGUUUCCAUUGAAAUCGUGACGUCAUGCUCGUUUGGAGACACGUUUGACAGUUCGUUUGGAGACAGAGGAUUUAUCUUCGCUCAUCUUUCCAUGUGCAGUAGCGACUACAGUAGAGCAGGGCGUGAUUAGCCUCCACCACCCUAGAAGACCGCAGCCAACCACUCACCAUAGUCCUCCCACCCUACACCAGAAGUCCAGAAGCACCAUCGUCGAGCAGCCAUGAAGGGGUGGCGUAAUCGGGUUGAUGCAAUGAUGCGAGGUGACUGACCUGAAAAAGGAGGUCAUGACCCUAGGAUGUGGGAAACAAGCCCAGAACCGGUCACUUAUCCAAUGCAUUUCGAAGUGAAAGGAUGAAAGUUUGAAAGCUAGCGAAAGUUACCGAGUAAGAAAAAGUUGAAAUGAGAGAGUUUGUGGAAGAAGACCAGGCGUAGAGGACGUCAGGUAACUUGAAGUGGCUGCAUCCGGAGACAGAAGCUGAUCCCAGCAUUUUCUCCUUCUCAGAACUACGCCGUUUUUAUGGUUAAAAAGAAAGGGUGGUUCAGAAAUAGUUGGAAAAUCUUCAAAGAUUGGCUACUUUUUCAAUAACUGGUGCAAGGAGAAGCACGCCGUGCUCCACGUGCUACCAUUGGGUCAAUUUAUUCAGUUAGAAGCAGAGAAGAGUGCUUUGAAGAUCAAAAGAGAUUCAAAACUCUUCGAAGGUGACCUAAAAGGACAUCUUAGUACUCUAAACAAAAUAAAUAUCAACUCACUUAUCAAAAACAAUGAUGACUGGAUGGGGAGAAGAUACAACUUUUGUCGUUGAUGUAAUUAAUCUUGAGCGAAAUACAUGGGCAAACGGUGGACCAAAUCUUCGCUCAGGAUCAAUUGUAUUUUGCACCGAUGGUUCAAAGCUGAACAAUCAAGUUGGAGCAGGCGUGACUGGCCCAGGGAUAAAUAUGUCGAUUCCCAUGGGCAAAUGGCCAACUGUUUUCCAAGCUGAAGUUCAGGCUAUUCUUGAAUGCUCUAAAUUAUGCCUACGCAGAAAUUAUAGGCAUUCAAAUAUUUGCAUAACCCAACUAACAUUUAAUGUCAAUGUAAAUGUUAUUUCAACUCGUCUAUACGGCUUCAAGCUGAAUAUGUGUGCUAUACGUAUGAUCAAGAACUUCUAUUCAAUGCUUUUACCAGCAAAUCUGGCGAAUCUAUUCAGCUGUUUUUUGCGUGCCUGCACAACUACUUUACAGCAUGUUACACAAUUUUGUCUCAAUCUUUAUUAAACCAUUUAGUAAGUAAUAUAAUUCGCUUCAAUGGCGCUUUUAUUCAGAUUUUUUAAAUCUGUUAAAUAAGUUUUAUACAGCCACUGAAUUCAUUUUGAUUAAAUAUUAUUUGAGAGGAGAGUAAAUUUCGGAGUUUAUUUAAUGUUUUUUUUUGUGAAAACUCAAAUAUCAAUUUUGUUGCUACCUAGAUUCGAACUCCUGAUCUCCUGAUUCAAUGGCCGCUGCUCUGUCAUCACCGUCACUUUGACAUAUGUAAAUAACAAAGAAAAUUAUGGAUGUGCUUCUUCGCACAUCCUAUAGGUUGUUUUACUAACGCAAUUUUCAGAUUCAUGCUGUAUAAACGUUAGAAAGAGGCAUACAUGCUGCUUUCAGCACAUAAGCUUAAAAAGUAUGCUUUCAGCAUUAUUUCAACCAUUAUUCAAACAUCUGUCAGCAUGUUCUGUGGGCUAACUUUUAUGCAUCAUCAAUCGCUGAAACUGUUUUAGGCAACAUUUUCUCGAUCUGUAUAGAUGUUACUCUGCUGCUAAUCGUUUAACAGUAGCUGUCAACUUCUUCCGUCACUUCUAAAUGGCUUGUUUUCUUGCACUAUCUGCUAGCAUUAAUGACAGCGCUUUGUCAGUUGCUAUAAAAGCAGGUGAAUACCUUUGUAGCUGCGUUACAGAAAUCAAUAGCUCAUACACAGCUCCGGCAACAAAAAUCAAAUGUAAACAUUGCGGUUUUGACGUUCCAUACUGAUAAGCUAUUAAAAGGAGCAGUAUAAGGUUUACUUAAACGUUGUGUAAUCUUCAAAGAUACAGAAGUUGCCUAAAAGCUUCGUUAGUUCAUUUUUAGCGCCAUUACGCUAUAUUGUUAGUGCUAUAACAACAGCGAAAACAUUUUCAUUGUGAAUGCUACUCACCGUAAUAUAGGAAGUUGCUAACAAGCAACUUAAUUACAUACAUGAGCUCUUAACCGAUAAGCUUUGUUGCUAAUUCAGACAGAGCUGUUAUAUGACUAUAUGAAAGCUGCAUAAACGAUAAAAGAUGAAAUAUAUUCGGCACAAACUGACUAGCUGAUAGAUAUUUGGGUAAUAGUCGAGUUGAAGUUUAAGGGAUUAUUUGCGGAGGCUUUUCUUUUAUUCAGCAUUGGCUGCUUUUAUUCAGAUAUUAUUCAGCCAAAGGCUAGAAGUUGAAGCUUUUAGCACCAAAAUUGUUAGUUGGGAAUGUCUGACAGUCAAGCAGCAUUGAAUGCUUUGAAAUCAGCAAUAUGUAGAUCUAAACUCGUUUGGUAAUGUGUUCAGUCACUCCAAACCUUGAGUAGUCAUAACAAAGUGAAACUGUAUUGGGUUCCUGGUCAUUGUGGCAUGGAAGGCAAUGAACAAGCUGAUAUGCUGGCCAGACUUGGUUCAUCUCGACAAUUUUUAGGUCCCGAACCAUUUUGUGGUGUAUCUACGUGUUCUCUUCGAAUGGAACUCAAAUCUUGGGAACAUACAAAAAUAGAAGACAUUUGGAAAAACACAUUGAUUGCGAGGCAGUCUAAACGUUUUAUCACACCAAACGUAUUUAUCACUCGCAAAAUUUUAGAUCUUUCAAAAAAAGAUCUUAACACAUACACAGGCCUUAUAACAGGCCUUUGCCCGAGCCGAUAUCACUAGAAGCCAGUGGUGCAAUUUAUCAACAAUGCCUGCUGAGUGUGAUUCUUUUGUUUUGUAUUUUUCUCUGCUCCUCUUUGCCUAUGACGGUGCCUUUCAGUCAGAACGACAAAGCAGGAGUAGCUUAGCAAACUCGGUUUGCCAACAGCGGGCUGAAGCUGAUGAUCAUUCGGCACAAAUUUCCUGUCAUUGUCUUUCAAGUGAUAGUAAUCACCCAUGCAUUUAUAUAGGGCCGUCGCAUUCACACAGCAGCGAGUGAACUGAAUAGACCAUUUUCAGUUUUCACUGCUAGGAAGUGAGUGAAGAGGCAAUGGUAACAAUAUCCAAUAAAUUUCAUUGAUUGAUUGAUUGAUUGAGAAUUUGCACCACUGCUUGAAGCUGUUAGGAAAACUUCAAGAUGAUGUAUGUCGUUUCUGCGGCAUACAUGUAGAAGACUCGGAACAUCUGUUAUGCCAUUGUCCGGCAAUUUUUAGAUAGAGAUUAUAGUUCUUCAACAAGGGGCUGAUAGAACCCUCAGAAGUUUGGAGAACAAGUCCCAAUAUGGUAGUACGAUUCAUCAGAACCAUAAUACCGCAUUGGGAUAACGCUGGUAGUCAAGGUAAUGCAAUUGCUAUAAAUAGUAAUGAUGUGUCAACUUGUCAAAGCUAGAUCAAAUGGGGCAUAUACCACAAUAGAUCUAACAAAUGGUCGCAGUGAUUAAAAUAACCAACAAGGAAAAAAAUGGUUAAAAACCCCAUCGGGAACCGCCAUCGUACCCAGAUUCCAUUGUCGGCCUGAUUCGGCAUUGUUCCGCCGAAAGCCGUUCGGCCAUCUUAUUGGUCGUUUUGGACCGCAGUGAGAAGCGAGGUCGAGGAGUAUCCCCAAGCCAUUCCGGACGUUACUACCGGAUCCGUAGUGAGCAGAGUAACCGGCUACCGACGCGUAGGUGACCGAAGAAGGAAGGUAGAGAGGGAGUAGGAAGUCGCGAGGAGAAGAGUCCACCGCCGCCGCCACGUAGGCCGCCCAAGGGUGCAGGAAGCCUAGAUACCGUAGCGAGUUGGAGUAGAGCCGCCAACGCCGGCGUGAAUGCGCUUGCAAGGAAGGUAGAGGACGUGGAAGGACCGGAGUCAAACAAGGAAGAAGUGGAGUGGUGGAGUGCUGCCAGGAAGUGGGGCCCCAAGGAAGACAGGCUAGCUAGGCUUAAGAAAGUGCAAAGGUCAAUAAAGUAUCGCAAAGUGAAGCUCUGUGUGGUUUUCCCUACAUUUUGAUUGCGAGAGUUCCCUGCCCGCGAGUAGCUUGAGGUAAGCGUGCCGACUCUGAGGCCAUUGAUUCAGGGAGUCUCAGCAUAGCUCAGACCAUACAGAGAUAUUUUGGGUUUUCAGAGAUAGGUAAGAUUAGGAACCACAAAUAAAGUAGGGCUCUUGCCCGUUCAACCAUAUAUUGGGAUUGGAAUCGGACCAGAAUCAUGUGAGAUAUGGUAAUUUCUUUAUAAUCGGUUCCGAUCGGUAGUUUUCAAAGGGAUCAGACCACUAAUUAAUUUGAAUCACGAUAUUUGAAAAUUCGUCUACUAUGAUUUUAUCCUAGAAGGCUUUUAAUGUGUCAAGAAUGCAAAAAGAAUUGAAUAGAUGAAUCCUGGAGUCGCUGGGGUGCCCCCGGAGAACCUGUGGAAGAGCACAUUUCAAUUUAAGUGCCAAAACCAGCCAAUCGACGGCUCUUUUUUCCUGAUUUUUGAUCAGGAGGCAAAUUAUGAUUAUAAAAUGGAUCAAUGACGGCUCUGACCUCUCCCAAGACCUACGUAUUACCCCCGGGGAACCUGUGAAAGGGGACACCAUACACUGUUCACGCCGCGAAAAUCGGACUCUACGAAUAGAUCUUCUUCUUACGCAUUUGCUUUUUUUUUGUGGUUACUAUCCCAUGAUUUUUAAACCUGUUAUACCAAAUGAGAAAUUACCAUGCGUUUUUAUGUUAAAUUUCAAAUUUCAUUAUUUAACAUUGAUAUUCAUCAUGUACAAUUGCGUAGGAUUUUACAAAAAUAAAUAUCAACAUGUUUCAUAGCUUGUAGAAAUUCACAAAUACUGCGCGAUAUUAAUAUAUUAUCUGAUUCUCUGAACAGAAAAACCAUUGAUUUUAAUUAGCUUAGAGAAUUGAGAACUCGCAAACACUUUAAAAAAAACUUUAACUUUCGAGAUAUUCUUCUUUCCAUCAGAAACGCUAAUGUCGCGCAAUAUUAAAGAAUUGCAUUUUAUUUCCAUAAUUUCGAAUUGUGUUAAAAUUUUCACCUUUCCAAAACACAGUUUCGUCCAGGGGACUAUAUAAAUUAAAAAUAACUUUAAAAACUAUGUUACAUUCUGGAUUAUUUGCUUAAUUCCGGUGUACUUCGAAUCAGUACUAUUCAUAUCUCAUAAUAUCCUGCAUAGAAAAAAGC